GGGAAUGAUGAUUUCACAGACUAGAGUCUCUGACACUGGUCCUGAUGUCAACUAUGAAUCUGACUC
rnacentral:snoRNA from 1 species